AUUGAACGCUGGCGGCAGGCCUAACACAUGCAAGUCGAGCGAGCGGCGGACGGGUGAGUAAUGUAUGGGGACUGCCCGAUAGAGGGGGAUAACUACUGGAAACGGUGGCUAAUACCGCAUACUAUCGGAUAACCCAUAUGGGAUUCGCUAGUGGGUGGGGUAAAGGCUCACAUGGGCGACAAUCUCUAGCUGGUCUGAGAGGAUGAUCAGCCAAACUGGGACUGAGACACGCCCCAGACUCCUACGGAGGAAGCAGGGGGAAAUAUUGCACAAUGGGCGCAGUCCUGAUGCAGCCAUGCCGCGUGUAUGAAGAAGGCCUCAGGGUUGUAAAGUACUUUCAGCGGGGAGGCGUUACCCGCAGAAGAAGCACCGGCUAACUCCGUGCCAGCAGCCGCGGUAAUUC
rnacentral:rRNA from 1 species